GGGAAAAAAAGUCUCUAGGCCGAAGCGUGCUUUGCCUUGUGGCUUGUGGUUCCUCUCUCUUUCCCUCUACAGAGCUUCUAUCUUGUUUUUCUCUCUUCCUCUAUCUCUCGUGAUCUUGAAUGGCAUGUAAAGAAGCAGAAGAAAACUCUAGCAGGUGAGAGAUGAAAAGGGAUUGAUCAGUAAACAACAAACUAAGGGUUUUGCUUGCUUUUAGUCUCAUCAAUGGCUUCUUAUCAAUUCUUGAACCAUCGCAAUCAGGUACGCGAUUCUUCUCGCUUUAUCAAUACUACUAGUCGCCGUGGGUUCUCCAAGUCUCAAAUGUGCCUCCAAAAGAUUCUACACGUUAUUGCUUCAUGCCCACCUCAAGAAAUCUCAAAAGAAACAUCUUUGAAUCGUGAAAUUCUUGAAUUUAAGGAGAAUAGAGGCGUUGACAUUGAUUUGAACAUAGGUUUGAGUCCUGCUUGGUUAGAAGCUGAUAACCAAGAAAAUCAAUCAUCAGAGGAGUCGUCCUUAUUGAGUGCUUGUAGUUUUGUUGAAAAGGGUAUAAAGAAUGAUUCUUCUAUGGAGGCUUUUGCGGUUGACAGGAGCUCGUCAGUAGGAGAAUGUUGUGUCAAGUUUGUUGGGGACCAGGUCGGUUAUGAUUCUCCUACAGUUCAAGCAACUGGAGAAGAAUCUCAAGGGGUCGAUGAGACAACUUUAGAAAUUUCAAAGACCACAAAUCUCAAAAACCAAUCCAAUGAAAUCAGCAGCAAAAUCAAAGCAGUCAAUGAUGAUCAAGAGACGACUAAGAUCAAAGAAGACACCAAGAAAGAAUUAGUCAAACAGGAGCCAUGCCACGAAGAAAAGAACGAAUCCAAUAAAGAUUCUUUGGCUCUUCUUAUUGAGGCAGCAGAGAUGUUUUCGGGUAAUUUAGAAGACAAAGAAUCUGAUUCAGAGAAACUAGAAGAAACAACAAGCGGGUCAAAAAAGAGUUGCAAGUGUAGUUGGGUGGUGGAUUUGUACGAGGAUAACACAUCAUCGCCCGUUGUAAGAUCCAAGAGAGGGAGAAGUCAUGUGCUGCCUUAUAGGUAUAGAGACAGUUCGGUUAUUUUAGAGCCGUGGAAACGACUGCCACGACCAACAAAGGCAGAAACGACGGCUGCCACGGUGGUUUCAAAGAAACGUAAGUAAAGGUAAGAAAAAAGGAAAGAAUAUUACUAUAACAACAUGUGAAAGUAAAUGCGAGGUUUCUGCGAAAUGGCAGGAGAAGAGAAAAACGCAUGUAAGAUUAUGAGAUGGAGGGAGCAGUGCUGCUCAAAUGUGGGACAGUGAUGGGUUUCAAUUUGUUUUCAGCUCUUUAACAUCUGGUUUAGUUUACAAGUAGUGGUAAGGUUGCUAUGAUUUAUAUGUUUUGAUAUCGGCACGAUGUUGAUGGUUGUUGUGAUUAUAGAUUUAUGUUUUAUUUAAAUUCAAUAAUUGAGCUGAUCA